UACGUAGGGUGCGAGCGUUGUCCGGAAUUAUUGGGCGUAAAGGGCUCGUAGGCGGUCUGGUGCGUCGACUGUGAAAACCCGCGGCUUAACUGCGGGCUUGCAGUUGAUACGGGCAGGCUAGAGUUCGGUAGGGGAGACUGGAAUUCCUGGUGUAGCGGUGAAAUGCGCAGAUAUCAGGAGGAACACCGGUGGCGAAGGCGGGUCUCUGGGCCGAUACUGACGCUGAGGAGCGAAAGCGUGGGGAGCGAACGGG
rnacentral:rRNA from 1 species